UACGUAGGGAGCAAGCGUUGUCCGGAAUCAUUGGGCGUAAAGCGCGCGUAGGUGGCCUCAUAAGUCCGCUGUGAAAGUCAAAGGCUCAACCUUUGAAAGCCGGUGGAUACUGUGGGGCUAGAGUACGGAAGAGGCGAGUGGAAUUCCUAGUGUAGAGGUGAAAUUCGUAGAUAUUAGGAAGAACACCAGUGGCGAAGGCGGCUCACUGGUCCGGUACUGGACGCUGAGGUGCGAAAGCGUGGGGAGCAAACAGGG
rnacentral:rRNA from 1 species